rfam:Myotis brandtii contig107032, whole genome shotgun sequence.
CUUGGGGAGUGGAAGGUCCCUCAGCCCAAAUUGCAAGAGGGUGCAGGUCAGGCUGAGGGUACCCACUAGUGCAUG